UUUUUAAAUAUUUUUUUGAUCACCAAUUCGGACCAAUCUAGACUUGAUCCAAAAUACCAAUCCAACUAUCCAACAUGCAUAUGCGGGUGAACGAUCUGCCCCACCAAUCCUGGUUUUAGAACACUGAUACGAAUAAUAAGGUGAGGUUUGUAUAAGGUGCACUAUACUUUACAAGCAAGGCGGACCUAUAAAUUUUGCUAGAAGACGUAGCUCUAGUUUCGAAAUCCUAAAAUAGCGUGAAAAUCUAUAUUCAACUACACUUAUGAAAUUUAAAAUUUCAAAAUUGCUGCAGAUCAAGUAACACUAUAAACACUUGAAAAUCAUGAAAGUAGACGGUCUAAAUACCUUGUUUCAAGAUGCACUAAUUUUAGGAUUUGAAAUUCAAUUAUAUAU
rnacentral:lncRNA from 1 species